CAGCCGUAAACUAUGCUCGCUAGGUGUCAGGCAUGGCGCGACCGUGUCUGGUGCCGCAGGGAAGCCGUGAAGCGAGCCACCUGGGAAGUACGGCCGCAAGGCUGAGACUUAAAGGAAUUGGCGGGGGAGCACAACAAUGGGUGGAGCCUGCGGUUUAAUUGGACUCAACGCCGGGAAUCUCACCGGAUAAGACAGCGGAAUGAUUGCCGGGCUGAAGACUCUGCAUGACUAGCUGAGAGGAGGUGCAUGGCGUAGACGUCU
rnacentral:rRNA from 1 species